rnacentral:rRNA from 1 species
GACGAACGCUGGCGGCGUGCCUAAUACAUGCAAGUAGAACGCACAGUUUAUACCGUAGCUUGCUACACCAUAGACUGUGAGUUGCGAACGGGUGAGUAACGCGUAGGUAACCUGCCUGGUAGCGGGGGAUAACUAUUGGAAACGAUAGCUAAUACCGCAUAAUAUUAAUUAUUGCAUGAUAAUUAAUUGAAAGGUGCAAUUGCACCACUACCAGAUGGACCUGCGUUGUAUUAGCUAGUAGGUGAGGUAACGGCUCACCUAGGCGACGAUACAUAGCCGACCUGGGAGGGUGGUCGGCCCCACUGGGACUGAGACACGGCCCAGACUCCUACGGGAGGCAGCCGUAGGGAAUCUUCGGCAAUGGACGAAAGUCUGACCGAGCAACGCCGCGUGAGUGAAGAAGGUUUUCGGAUCGUAAAGCUCUGUUGUAAGAGAAGAACGGGUGUGAGAGUGGAAAGUUCACACUGUGACGGUAUCUUACCAGAAAGGGACGGCUAACUACGUG